rnacentral:rRNA from 1 species
UACGAAGGGGGCUAGCGUUGCUCGGAAUUACUGGGCGUAAAGCGCACGUAGGCGGCUUUCUAAGUCGGGGGUGAAAUCCUGGAGCUCAACUCCAGAACUGCCUUCGAUACUGGAAAGCUCGAGUCCGGGAGAGGUGAGUGGAAUUCCCCAGUGUAGAGGUGAAAUUCGUAGAUAUUGGGAAGAACACCAGUGGCGAAGGCGGCUCACUGGCCCGUAACUGACGCUGAGGUGCGAAAGCGUGGGGAGCAAACAGG